rnacentral:rRNA from 1 species
UACGAAGGGUGCAAACGUUGCUCGGAAUUAUUGGGCGUAAAGCGCACGUAGGCGGCCCAGCAAGUCGGAAGUGAAAUCCCACGGCUCAACCAUGGAAGUGCUUUCGAAACUGCUGGGCUUGAGUACAAAAGAGGAUCGCGGAAUUCCCGGUGUAGAGGUGAAAUUCGUAGAUAUCGGGAGGAACACCAGUGGCGAAGGCGGCGAUCUGGGUUAAUACUGACGCUGAGGUGCGAAAGCGUGGGGAGCAAACAGG